AGACCGUGAUGCGGGCACUUCCUUAGUAGCUCCUUGAACCUUUCCCAUGUCUUGUACAAGGAUUCCCCUUCUUCUUGAGAGUAGGUGUUAAUCUCGCUCAUGAGUUU
rfam:Helianthus annuus linkage group 13, whole genome shotgun sequence.